AAUACGUUCCCGGGCCUUGUACACACCGCCCGUCACACCACGAAAGUCGGCAACACCCGAAGCCGGUGGCCUAACCCUUUUGGGAGGGAGCCGUCGAAGGUGGGGUUGGUGAUUGGGGUG
rnacentral:rRNA from 1 species